rnacentral:rRNA from 1 species
AUUGAACGCUGGCGGCAUGCUUUACACAUGCAAGUCGAACGGCAGCGCGGGCUUCGGCCUGGCGGCGAGUGGCGAACGGGUGAGUAAUACAUCGGAACGUGCCCAGUAGUGGGGGAUAGCUCGGCGAAAGCCGGAUUAAUACCGCAUACGACCUGAGGGUGAAAGCGGGGGAUCUUCGGACCUCGCGCUAUUGGGGCGGCCGAUGGCAGAUUAGCUAGUUGGUGGGGUAAAGGCCUACCAAGGCGACGAUCUGUAGCUGGUCUGAGAGGACGACCAGCCACACUGGGACUGAGACACGGCCCAGACUCCUACGGGAGGCAGCAGUGGGGAAUUUUGGACAAUGGGCGAAAGCCUGAUCCAGCAAUGCCGCGUGUGUGAUGCAGGCCUUCGGGUUGUAAAGCACUUUUGGCGGGAACGAAAAGGACUGUGCCAAUACCACGGUUCGAUGACGGUACCCGCAGAAUAAGCACCGGCUAACUACGUG